UACGGAAGGCAGCAGUGGGGAAUAUUGCACAAUGGGCGCAAGCCUGAUGCAGCCAUGCCGCGUGUAUGAAGAAGGCCUUCGGGUUGUAAAGUACUUUCAGUCGUGAGGAAGGUGUUAAGGUUAAUAACCUUAGCAAUUGACGUUAGCGACAGAAGAAGCACCGGCUAACUCCGUGCCAGCAGCCGCGGUAAUACGGAGGGUGCGAGCGUUAAUCGGAAUUACUGGGCGUAAAGGGCACGCAGGCGGUUAAUUAAGUUGGAUGUGAAAUCCCCGGGCUUAACCUGGGAAUGGCAUUCAAGACUGGUUAGCUAGAGUCUUGUAGAGGGGGUAGAAUUCCAUGUGUAGCGGUGAAAUGCGUAGAGAUGUGGAGGAAUACCGGUGGCGAAGGCGGCCCCUGGACAAAGACUGACGCCCAUGUGCGAAAGCGUGGGGAGCAAACAGGGAUUAGAUACCCGU
rnacentral:rRNA from 1 species